UGCGGAAUUUUAGAUAAUGGAGGGAACUCUGAUCUAGCGACGCCGCGUGCAGGAAGAAGGUCUUCGGAUUGUAAACUGCUGUGGUAAGGGAAAAAUGCUAUGUAGAGUGGAAAGCUACAUAGAGGGAUGGUACCUUACUAGAAAGCCCCGGCUAACUACGUGCCAGCAGCCGCGGUAAUACGUAGGGGGCGAGCGUUACCCGGAAUCACUGGGCGUAAAGGGAGCGUAGGUGGCCUAACAUGUCAACUGUGAAAACCCGGAGCUCAACUCCGGACUUGCAGUUGAAACUGGUAGGCUUGAGGACGGUAGAGGAAGACGGAACUGCCAGUGUAGGGGUAAAAUCCUUAGAUAUUGGCAGGAACGCCGGUGACGAAGGUGGUUUUCUGGGCCGGUUCUGACACUGAUGCUCGAAAGCCAGGGGAGCG
rnacentral:rRNA from 1 species